rnacentral:rRNA from 1 species
CCUACGGGAGGCAGCAGUGAGGAAUAUUGGUCAAUGGACGCAAGUCUGAACCAGCCAUGCCGCGUGCAGGAAGACGGCUCUAUGAGUUGUAAACUGCUUUUGUACGAGGGUAAAUCCCGAUACGUGUAUCUGGUUGAAAGUAUCGUACGAAUAAGGAUCGGCUAACUCCGUGCCAGCAGCCGCGGGAAUUCGGAGGAUUCAAGCGUUAUCCGGAUUUAUUGGGUUUAAAGGGUGCGUAGGCGGUUCGAUAAGUUAGAGGUGAAAUCCCGGGGCUCAACUCCGGCACUGCCUCUGAUACUGUCGGGCUAGAGUUUAGUUGCGGUAGGCGGAAUGUAUGGUGUAGCGGUGAAAUGCAUAGAGAUCAGACAGAACACCGAUUGCGAAGGCAGCUUACCAAACUACGACUGACGUUGAGGCACGAAAGCGUGGGGAGCAAACAGGAUUAGAUACCCGAGUAGUC